GCGUGCCGAUGAUGAUGCAAAAGCAUCGGUGAAUUCUGGAUGAAUGUGCUCGCGCACGACCAGUGUGCGGCUCUGGUGAUAUCCACUGCGUAAUACUGUCUCUGAGGCACGC
rfam:Triticum aestivum genome assembly, contig: Triticum_aestivum_CS42_TGACv1_scaffold_031308_1BL